rnacentral:rRNA from 1 species
AUGAAUCAUGUGUCUCCACCAUUUCAAAUCCUCCGCGCGCCUAAGAUACCACUUGAGAAAUUACUAAUGGCCAACGGAAAGAAUGUUGUGGCCAUGUUAUUUCUCACCACCAUUGUGGCGGUGGCGGCCACAAGGCCAGCCGACACCUAUGGCGCUGCGGAGGAGAACAUAUUGAAGAUGGCUACCCCCAGCAGGAAAGGGGUUGACGCUACCUUAGCAGCUACACGUGUUGUUGCCGCCGAGAAGUCCAUGAAGAAGGCUGAAAGCGCCACCACACCAGAAGAGGCCGCGGCUGCCAAGCAAGAUGGAGCAAAAUCUGCUUCUGCUGCAUUAAAGUACAAUGCCAUCUCUCAGCAGGCAACUGGUAAAGGUUCUUCUACCUCCCCAGGCAGGAAAGAAGCAGCCGGUACUUUAGUUGCCACACACUAUGCUGCCGCCGAAAAGUCCAUCAAGAAGGCCGAAACCGCCACGACACCUGAAAAGGCCGUGGCUGCCAAGUGA